GUGGGCUUGCCAAAAAUGAACAUUUCAGAGAGACCAGUCAAGGUUCCUCUUUUCUGUCCUGGGUAGGCUAAGUGUGAAAAUGUGGACCUGCCUGCUUGUUCAGAAAUGUUAAGAUGUCACAACAGUGCUGUCAGCUUUAUUGUGAAUUUUGGACAUAGUUCUGGGAAGGAGUGUUCUGAUUGGCUUUUCAGUUAAUAACUAAAUUAUUCCAGGACAUAUCAUUAAAGGGUUAGUUCACGCAACUUAAUACAACUUCCAGAUAAUGUAAACACAGAUUAAGUGUGUACAUCUGCGAUAAACUACGUUAAAAAGAUAAAUUAACACAUUUUAUAAGCAGUUACUAUGGUACUUUUUUGUUAAGAAUAACUUUGUUCCUGUGUUGUGUCAAACAAUACAGGUUAGUCGGUCGAUAAAAUUACUCAACGACUCAUUUGAAGUAUCGGGAUGAAAUGGUGCUGUAGGAAUGUGUCUUGUCAAGUCUUUAGGGUGUUUGACUUCCAGUCAAAAGCUCAACAGUCUGUUGGCCUGCUUGAUCAAGACGGCGUGACCCCGACCUGCCCUCAAUGACAGCAUCUUGAAAGGUUUCAAUCAAGAUACAUUGUUGGAAACAAAUGCAGAUGCAACAAACCAGAGCGGAGAUAUGAAUUCAAUUCAAAGUGACUUACAGUGGAUUCAGAUAUAAGUCAUUAAUGAGCAGGUCUUCAG
ensembl:lncRNA